CCUAAAGAAAGAUUAGAGAAGCCCUAGAUGUGUUUCACAUCACUCCGGGUGCUUUCUCAACUGCUUUCUCAACUGUUGAGAAAGCACCCGGAGUGGUGCGAAAUGCGUCCAGGGCUUAUCUAAUCUUUCUUUAG